UACGGGGGGGGCAAGCGUUGUUCGGAAUUACUGGGCGUAAAGGGCUCGUAGGCGGCCAACUAAGUCAGACGUGAAAUCCCUCGGCUUAACCGGGGAACUGCAUCUGAUACUGGAUGGCUUGAGUUCGGGAGAGGGAUGCGGAAUUCCAGGUGUAGCGGUGAAAUGCGUAGAUAUCUGGAGGAACACCGGUGGCGAAGGCGGCAUCCUGGACCGGACACUGACGCUGAGGAGCGAAAGCCAGGGGAGCAAACGGGG
rnacentral:rRNA from 1 species